AGGAGAAUAAUUAGAGCUGUGA
rnacentral:miRNA from 1 species